rnacentral:rRNA from 1 species
GACGAACGCUGGCGGCGUGCCUAAUACAUGCAAGUCGGACGCAGUUGCGAACGGGUGAGUAACGCGUAGGUAACUGCCUAUUAGAGGGGGAUGACUAUUGGAACCGCUAGCUAAUACCGCAUACUAGUAGAUGGACCUGCGUUGUAUUAGCUAGUAGGUAGGGUAAUGGCCUACCUAGGGGACGGUACAUAGCCGACCCUGAGAGGUGGUCGGGCAAAAUGGGAAUGGAGAACGGCCCCGACGCCCACGGGAAGCAGCAGUAGGGAAACUUCGGAAAUGGGGCGAACCCUUGACGAGGCAAGGCGGGGGAGGGAAGAAAGGUUUCCGGUCGUAAAAGUAUGUUGUGAAGGAAGCGGUACUUAACCAGAAAGGGACGGCUAACUACGUGCCAGCAGCCGCGGUAAUUC